GAUGAAGAACGCAGCGAAAUGCGAUAAGUAAUGUGAAUUGCAGAAUUCAGUGAAUCAUCGAAUCUUUGAACGCACAUUGCGCCCGCUGGUAUUCCGGCGGGCAUGCCUGUUCGAGCGUCAUUUCAACCCUCAAACCCCCGGGUUUGGUGUUGGGGAUCGGCUCUGCCUCACGGCGGUGCCGCCCCCGAAAUACAGUGGCGGUCCCGCCGCAGCUUCCAUUGCGUAGUAGCUAACACCUCGCAACUGGAGAGCGGCGCGGCCACGCCGUAAAACACCCAACUUCUGAAUGUUGACCUCGAAUCAGGUAGGAAUACCCGCUGAACUUAAGCAUAUCAAUAAGCGGAGGA
rnacentral:misc_RNA from 1 species